CACGUAGGGUGCAAGCGUUGUCCGGAAUCAUUGGGCGUAAAGAGCGCGCAGGCGGCUUGGUAAGUCGGAUGUGAAAACCCGAGGCUCAACCUCGGGCGUGCAUCCGAAACUGCUCGGCUAGAGGUAGGUAGGGGAGAUCGGAAUUCCUGGUGUAGCGGUGAAAUGCGUAGAGAUCGGGAGGAACACCAGUGGCGAAGGCGGCUCGCUGGGCCGGACCUGACGCUGAGACGCGAAGGCGUGGGGAGCGAACGGG
rnacentral:rRNA from 1 species